UACGGGGGGGGGCAAGCGUUGUUCAGAAUUACUGGGCGUAAAGGGCUCGUAGGCGGCCAACUAAGUCAGACGUGAAAUCCCUCGGCUUAACCGGGGAACUGCGUCUGAUACUGGAUGGCUUGAGGUUGGGAGAGGGAUGCGGAAUUCCAGGUGUAGCGGUGAAAUGCGUAGAUAUCUGGAGGAACACCGGUGGCGAAGGCGGCAUCCUGGACCAAUUCUGACGCUGAGGAGCGAAAGCCAGGGGGAGCAAAACGGG
rnacentral:rRNA from 1 species